GCUUACGGCCAUACCACCCUGAACACGCCGAUCUCGUCCGAUCUCGGAAGCUAAGCAGGGUCGGGUCUGGUUAGUACUUGGAUGGGAGACCGCCUGGGAAUACCACUUGGAUGGAGACC
rnacentral:rRNA from 1 species